rnacentral:rRNA from 1 species
GUGUCAGCCGCGCGGUAAUACGUAGGGUGCAAGCGUUAUCCGGCUUUAUUGGGCGUAAAGAGCUCGUAGGCGGUUCGUCGCGUCCGGUGUGAAAGUCCAUCGCUUAACGGUGGAUCGGCGCCGGGUACGGGCGGGCUGGAGUGCGGUAGGGGAGACUGGAAUUCCCGGUGUAACGGUGGAAUGUGUAGAUAUCGGGAAGAACACCGAUGGCGAAGGCAGGUCUCUGGGCCGUCACUGACGCUGAGGAGCGAAAGCGUGGGGAGCGAACAGGAUUAGAUACCCUGGUAGUCCACGCCGUAAACGGUGGAUGCUGGAUGUGGGGCCCGUUCCACGGGGUCCGUGUCGGAGCUAACGCGUUAAGCAUCCCGCCUGGGGAGUACGGCCGCAAGGCUAAAACUUAAAGAAAUUGGCGG